rnacentral:misc_RNA from 1 species
AAGUCGUAACAAGGUUUCCGUAGGUGAACCUGCGGAAGGAUCAUUAACACGUAUCCAACGUUAAACCCCCCUGUGAAUUUUAUCGCAGCUCUUGCAGAUGCCGGUAAGUUUGCAAUCCCUGGUAAAUCAUUGUUGAACAGAUUUUGAUUCAGGGGGGCAUAUAGCCACAGCAGCCCGGUCACCGGCCGUGUCGGCCUCCAGUGAUCGUAAAGCGUUUUCCUUACACAACCAGCGACACUUUCAGACACUGGCAGCUUGGGGAAACCAGGCCACUUGCACAAGCGCUCGAAUUGCAGCUGUCGGUGUUAGAGGUCCUAUAUUUACCCCACUACCUGAACUUGGGUCGCAGGAAACUGCUUCCCCUUAAAUCUGAACAACUGUUAACAAUGGAUAUCUUGGUUCUC